rnacentral:rRNA from 1 species
AGGCAGCAGUGGGGAAUUUUCCGCAAUGGGCGCAAGCCUGACGGAGCAAGACCGCGUGAGGGAGGAAGGCUCUUGGGUUGUAAACCUCUUUUAUCAGGGAAGAAGAUCUGACGGUACCUGAUGAAUCAGCAUCGGCUAACUCCGUGCCAGCAGCCGCGGUAAUACGGAGGAUGCAAGCGUUAUCCGGAUUUAUUGGGCGUAAAGCGUCCGCAGGUGGUUUUUCAAGUCUGCUGUUAAAGCGCAGAGCUUAACUCUGUAACGGCGGUGGAAACUGAGAGACUAGAGUAUGGUAGGGGUUGCGGGAAUUCCCAGUGUAGCGGUGAAAUGCGUAGAUAUUGGGAAGAACACCAGCGGCGAAAGCGCGCAACUGGGCCAUUACUGACACUCAUGGACGAAAGCUAGGGGAGCGAAAGGGAUUAGAUACCCCUGUAGUCCUAGCUGUAAACGAUGGGUACUAGGUGUUGACCGUAUCGACCCGGUCAGUGCCGUAGCUAACGCGUUAAGUACCCCGCCUGGGGAGUAUGCACGCAAGUGUGAAACUCAAAGGAAUUGACGGGGGCCCGCACAAGCGGUGGAGUAUGUGGUUUAAUUCGAUGCAACGCGAAGAACCUUACCAGGGCUUGACAUGUCGCGAAUCUCGGUGAAAGUCGAGAGUGCCUUCGGGAGC